UACGGAAGGCAGCAGUGGGGAAUAUUGCACAAUGGGCGCAAGCCUGAUGCAGCCAUGCCGCGUGUAUGAAGAAGGCCUUCGGGUUGUAAAGUACUUUCAGUCGUGAGGAAGGUGUUAAGGUUAAUAACCUUAGCAAUUGACGUUAGCGACAGAAGAAGCACCGGCUAACUCCGUGCCAGCAGCCGCGGUAAUACGGAGGGUGCGAGCGUUAAUCGGAAUUACUGGGCGUAAAGGGCACGCAGGCGGUUAAUUAAGUUGGAUGUGAAAUCCCCGGGCUUAACCUGGGAAUGGCAUUCAAGACUGGUUAGCUAGAGUCUUGUAGAGGGGGUAGAAUUCCAUGUGUAGCGGUGAAAUGCGUAGAGAUGUGGAGGAAUACCGGUGGCGAGGCGGCCCCUGGACAAAGACUGACGCUCAUGUGCGAAGCGUGGGGAGCAAACGAGGAUUAGAUACC
rnacentral:rRNA from 1 species